rnacentral:rRNA from 1 species
UACGGAGGGAGCUAGCGUUGUUCGGAAUUACUGGGCGUAAAGCGCACGUAGGCGGCUUUGUAAGUUAGAGGUGAAAGCCCGGGGCUCAACUCCGGAACUGCCUUUAAGACUGCAUCGCUUGAAUCCAGGAGAGGUGAGUGGAAUUCCGAGUGUAGAGGUGAAAUUCGUAGAUAUUCGGAAGAACACCAGUGGCGAAGGCGGCGUCCUGGACCAACACUGACACUGAUGAGCGAAAGCCAGGGGAGCAAACGGG